GGUUUAUAAAAACUAAUGUAAAAUGCAGAUCCAAAUGAGAGACAGAGAGGAAAAUGUGGCAUUGUAUCAAUUUGCCUGGGUACACAUAGCACAGACCUUGCACACACGUAUGUAAAUGGGUUUAUUGGGUACUGCAGGGCUGUAUUGGCUUUGGCUCCAGAAGUGGCUUGGUGCCUUUAUUGGGUAAGUAGUUAAACUAUAUGUCAACAGUUUGAUAACUUACCUUGGGUACAUUGAGAGCCUGAAG